AUUGAACGCUGGCGGCAUGCCUUACACAUGCAAGUCGAACGGCAGCACGGGUGCUUGCACCUGGUGGCGAGUGGCGAACGGGUGAGUAAUAUAUCGGAACGUACCUUAUUGUGGGGGAUAACGCAGCGAAAGCUGUGCUAAUACCGCAUAAUCCCUAAGGGGGAAAGCGGGGGACCGUAAGGCCUCGCGCAAUUAGAGCGGCCGAUACCUGAUUAGCUAGUUGGGGAGGUAAAGGCUCACCAAGGCAACGAUCAGUAGCUGGUCUGAGAGGACGAUCAGCCACACUGGGACUAGGACACGGCCCAGACUCCUACGGGAGGCAGCAGUGGGGAAUUUUGGACAAUGGGGGCAACCCUGAUCCAGCAAUGCCGCGUGAGUGAAGAAGGCCUUCGGGUUGUAAGGCUCUUUUGUCAGGGAAGAAACACCGGCUCUAACACAGUCCGGGAAUGACGGUACCUGAAGAAUAAGCACCGGCUAACUACGUGCCAGCAGCCGCGGUAA
rnacentral:rRNA from 1 species